rnacentral:rRNA from 1 species
UACAGAGGGUGUGAGCGUUGUCCGGAAUUACUGGGCGUAAAGGGCGCGUAGGCGGCCUGAUAAGUCGGGGGUGAAAUUCAGCGGCUCAACCGCUGGACUGCCUUCGAGACUGUCGGGCUCGAGCACGGUAGAGGCUGGUGGAAUUUCCGGUGUAGCGGUGGAAUGCGUAGAGAUCGGGAAGAACAUCGGUGGCGAAGGCGGCCAGCUGGGCCGUUGCUGACGCUGAGGCGCGACAGCGUGGGGAGCAAACAGG